AGCUUGCUAAGGGUGGAAAUGUUGGCAGUUUAGUGGCGGACGGGUGAGUAACGCGUGGGUAACCUGCCUUACACAGGGGGAUAACACCUGGAAACAGGUGCUAAUACCGCAUAACAGGAAGAGGCGCAUGCCACUUUCUUGAAAACUCCGGUGGUGUAAGAUGGACCCGCGUCUGAUUAGCUAGUUGGCGGGGUAACGGCCCACCAAGGCGACGAUCAGUAGCCGGCCUGAGAGGGUGGACGGCCACAUUGGGACUGAGACACGGCCCAAACUCCUACGGGAGGCAGCAGUGGGGAAUAUUGGACAAUGGGGGGAACCCUGAUCCAGCGACGCCGCGUGAGUGAAGAAGUAUUUCGGUAUGUAAAGCUCUAUCAGCAGGGAAGAAAGAAAUGACGGUACCUGACUAAGAAGCCCCGGCUAACUACGUGCCAGCAGCCGCGGUAAUACGUAGGGGGCAAGCGUUAUCCGGAUUUACUGGGUGUAAAGGGAGCGUAGACGGUGAUGCAAGUCUGAAGUGAAAGGCGGGGGCUCAACCCCCGGACUGCUUUGGAAACUGUAUGACUGGAGUGCAGGAGAGGUAAGUGGAAUUCCUAGUGUAGCGGUGAAAUGCGUAGAUAUUAGGAGGAACACCAGUGGCGAAGGCGGCUUACUGGACUGUAACUGACGUUGAGGCUCGAAAGCGUGGGGAGCAAACAGGAUUAGAUACCCUGGUAGUCCACGCCGUAAACGAUGAUCACUAGGUGUCGGUGGGUAUGGACCCAUCGGUGCCGCAGCAAACGCAGUAAGUGAUCCACCUGGGG
rnacentral:rRNA from 1 species